GUGAUUUCUAACCGGUGUCGAAGUAAAUGUCGUUGGAAAUAUUUUGAGACAAAUUUGAAUACAUGUUUAAGAACAAUAAGUAUAUUUCUUCAUGACAGACUGUCUCUGGAAUAUGACAAGAAUAUAAUAGAACCAUGAUGAAAGGAUUUUACGACUGAAAUAAAAUAAAAAUGUUCAUUAAGAUUGAAGAUGUGAGCAAACAACUGUCUACGUCCCAACAAGCAGGAAGGUAGAUAGAACACAAUACCUGCAUGAAAACAUACUUUUACACUGUUAGACAUGAAUCAAAAUGGUAACCAAAAUGCAUAUACUUUUGACUUCUUUAUUCUGUUUGAGGAAAAUAACGGCCAAGAUACAAGGUACGCUGACAAGAUUGUAGAAUAUUUGGAAAGUGAACAUAAUUUAAAGGGAUAUAUGGAGACUCGGAAUGGCACACCAGGACAGAGUGUUUUCAAAAAUUUUGAGUAUGCCUUGAAGAAUUCAAGAUUUGUUCUUCUGUUAAUUUCUAUGGAGUCUAUAAAGGAUGGAUGGUGGGAUAAACAGAUGGAAACAACAUUGUAUCACCACAUUAACAGUGUUCGCCAGGAUAGAGUUGUACCAAUUUACCUUCCAGAUCUGAAUAUUGAUGACUUGCCAAUGGCUCUUAGUAUAUUCACUGGAGUGCAUUAUGCCGAUGACCCAAAAAGUCAGUUUUGGAGAAAACUUUCACGAGUUUUUGAGUGAUCAAUGAUGAGUAUGUUCAACUAAUUGUUCAAAAUUUGAAACUGAGAGCAAAUUUCUUUGGUUGUGACAGCUCAUUGGACAAAACAUUUGGAUGAUAACAUGUCAGAGUAUUAUAUGCCUCUAUGCUUAAUGAUAUUUUGUUCCUUUUCUGUUUAGAAUAAGUUUUACAGCGAAGAAUCCCACUGGUAGAUGUUCGAACCUUUAGCCAGCUGGCGGCAAGUUAUUCUGCCUUUGCGACCAGUACAGACCAAGAUCAAUCAUGGUCUGCACUGUUCGCUAUUCAGUCAGAAAAUUUUCAGUGCACAUCCUUUUGAAUAAUAAAUGGUAUUGGCCAAAUUGAAUGAUGGACCAUUCCAUUUUAGAAAUUUAGCAGGCUAAGUGUUAAAGUUGUUUGUCUGGUGAUGUACGUUACAAUAUCCCAUUUUAUCGUUUGUCACGCUUUUACUCCAGCUAAACUGUCUCCAUUAUAAAUAUCUAUAUUUUGAAGUCAUUAUUCACUUCUUCAGCUAUAGCGCUAUUGGUUACGGAGACGGGAAAAUGUCUUUAUUGCCGCGGCGGUCCAGGGUUCGAUUCCCGACGCGGUCAUCUUUUUUUCUUGAUUUGGAAUUUUUAAGAUAUUUUAGAAACAAAAAUUCAUAUUCUAAUGUUCAUAAUAUGACCAAACUUCAAUUUGAAAGAAAGAUUAUUUUUUUAGCCAAAUCUGGAAGUCAGUGCCUUUAACAGUAUUAUUUUAGAUGUGGUAGUUUAUUUUUAUAUGUGAUAUAAAGUACAACUAAAUUCCUUAUGUCUAAUAUAUAUUUUUAGCUCCCCGAAGUGGAAGCAUAUAGUCACCUCUUCAUCUUUUCUCUGUCCAUCCUGCAAUUCUUGUCCGUAGUAUUUCUGAACAACCAGUUUGGAACUUAGCGAAAUUCAUAGGAAGCUUCACUGUCAAGAGGACAUGAGCACUUUAUCUCCAUGUUACGUUCGGAUGAAUUUUCAAUGAGUUACUGCGCUUUGAUUAUUCUACAUUAGUAUAUUAAAGUACCAUUUCUUGUCUGCAGUAUUCCUCAACAACCACUUGCUGGAAUUUAGUUAACUUUCACAGGAAGCUUCACUAUCAAGAGGAGAUGCACAUAUCUUCUUGUUUCGGUCCUUUGAUUUUCACUGAGUUAUUUUCCUUUGAUUAUUUAAGUAAGAAAUAAUGUACAGAAAAACCAAGUUUUAAAAUUAUAAUUAUUAAUACACGGAAAGAGGUUAUUCGUCUGCGAAAUAAUUUCACAAAGGUGUAGCCCGAGUGAAUUAUUCUGGUGCCUUAUAACCGAUUUUGAGUGUACUGAUUUAGGUAGAACACGAUUUUGCUAUACAUUAUUUCGAUUCUAAUAUGCCCUUAAUCUAAAACAGUAGAUAAAAUAUAGUAGUGCUCUUUCUUGGUCGCAACAAAAACAUUGAAGUCAUUGCAUGUUAAUGUGACGUCAUUUUAGCAUAAGUGGGUUUUAACAGAAUUAGAAUAUAGAAUACUAUAGUACCAUUUCUUGUUUGUAGUAUUCCUCAGCAGCCGCUUUCUGGAAUUCAUGGAAACUUUGUACGAAGCUUCAUUUACUAGAUGAGUUGGGCAUAUUUUCUUCAUAUUCUGGUUGGAUGAUUUUUAGCUUGACUAUACGAAGUAUGGGGAGAUGUCCGACUUGACCCGGCAUUGGCGUCCUUUACCUUCUGCACCUUGGUUAAAGUUUUGAUGCACUUUUUCUUUAUCUCUGUAAUUACUUGACAGAUUUGUUUCAAACUUAAAAUAGUUAUUCCUCAUCAUCACCCACAUCAUAUGACACAAGGGGCAUAAUUCUUGCACCAAUAUUUCACUUAGAAUUUUAGGUUAAAGUUUUGGUGCACUUUCACACAAUCUCAGUUAUUACUAAAUGGAUUUGAUUCUAGCUUAAAAUAGGUGUUCCACAUCAUCUACCACAUCAUAUGACACAAGGUCCAUAACUCUAACUCUGGCACCAAUUUUUCAUGAAUUAUGCCCCUUUUUACUUAGAAUUUUAGGUUAAUUUUGAUGUAUUUUCACUAUAUCUGUGUUUUUACAAAAGGGAUUUGAUUCAAACUUAAAAUAAUUGUUCAGCAUCAUCACCUACAUCAUUUGACACAAGGGCAAUAACUUUGAAACCUAUAUUUAAUGAGUUAUCCACCUUUUUUACUUAAAAUUUCAGGUUAAAGUUUUGAUGCACUUACACUCUAUCUUUAUUAUUACCAAACAGAUUUGAUUCAAACUUUAAACAUCAUCACCCACAUCAAAUGACAAAAGGACAAUAACUCUCACACCAAUACUUUAUGAAUUAUCCCCCUUUUUACUUAACAUUUCAGGUUAAAGUUUUGAUGCACUUUCACUGCAUCUCUGUUAUUUCCAAACAGAUUUGAUUCAUACUUAAAAUCUUUGUACAAUAUCACCACCCACAUCAUAUGACACAAGGGCCGUAACUCUUGCACCAAUAUUUCAUGACUUAUGCCCCCUUUUUACUUAGCAUUUCAGUUUUAUUGUCGUGCACUUUCACUAUGUCUUUGUUAUAAUCAGAUGGACAUGUUCAUUAGGCAUAAAAAACUUAUUUGUUUCCAGUAACAUGCUCAAAAUAAUUAGGGUAGGUAGAUGAGUAAAAUUUUUUUUUUGUGGAAUAUUUUUUAUUAAGUGGGACUUUUCGGAAAUCAUUUUUGCGUCAGUAAGUUGAUUUCUAACAUCACUGACCAUGUUUAAAGCAUAAAAAGUGCAGUUUUGUAACCUUUCGUUAAAAAGUUGAAAAAAGAUUUCUCCAAGGCCAUAAAAACAUUUAGGGUCGGGUCAGAAAUUUAGGGUAGGUCGGGAUACCGGGAACAAACAAUUUUUUUACGCCUCAUAGAAAUUUAGCAGGGUAAGGGUUAAGUAAUAAGUUAUUACUUAACACUUACCCUGCUAAAUUUCUAUAAUGAACUUGUCCAUCUUUCAAUUUGGACAGUGCCAUUAACUGUUAAGGGGAUGCUUAUCAAAAAGAUACUGACUGAAUGGCCUACAGUGCAGAUCAUGAUCAGACUGCAUGGAUCUACACUGGUCACAAAGGCAGAAUCAAUCGUGUCCAGCAUGAAAAGGAUUAAUGAAUUUGAUUAGAUUUUAAAUAAGUUCUUCCACAUCAUCCUCAUCAUAUGGCACAAGGUCAUUAACUGGUGGAAAUAUUUCAUAAAUUAUAUCCCUUUUUUGCUUAGAAUUUUAGUUUAAUUUUGAUGCUUUUCCGCCAUAUCUCUAUUGUUACUAAAUGGAUUUCAUUAAACGGAAAAUGAUUGUUCCACAUCUUCAUCCACAUAAUACAACACAAGGUCCAUUAUGCUGGCACCAAUAUGUUAUGAGGUAUGCCCCCUUUUUACUAAAAGAAUUGGAAGUGAUUAUUCUUACGGUCCCGUAGGAAUAGCCUCGCAGGCUAUUCUUACGACUCUCCCAUAAGAAUAGUGAAAAGCUUGCAGGUGGUUAUUCCUAUGGCAGUUUUGUACUACAAUACAUUGUACUGAAGUCAUUCAACUGAUAUAUUUUCAACUUGGUCAUUGUGUUACAAAUAAAAUGUCAGGUCUGAAUUGAUGCAAACAUAUCAAGCUGAUGUGUGACAAACGUCAAGUAUAAAACUAAAUUAAAGGGCAAUAAACAUCUUUAGAGUGGUAAGAGACUGUUUGUACUGUUGUGAAAAACUUGCAUGUAUGUACACGAAACAUAGAUCAAUAAUACUCUAACUGGUUUAGUUGAAAACACUUGGUCAAUAUUUUUUAGUGUUUCAAUAUUAAUAACGUAUGUAUUUACAUCUACAGUACAACUGUACAACCAACAAUCGUUUUCUGAUUUAUUUAGAAGAUAAAUUUCUGUUAAAUAAGUAUUUUACACUUAAGAUAAAUUUGUUGUAUUAAAAUUGUCUGUUUAUGUAACAAAUGGAAGUAAUAAAAUGUGUUAUACCAUGGAGGUAAUAUAGAGAUUUUACCUCCAUGGUUAUACUAGGGGAAAUAACUUCCCUUUUUUGUUUUUUGUCUUCUCUGGUUUCCAUACCUCAUGUUUUUAUUUCGAUGUAAAUGAGAUGUGAAACCAAAAUUUGUAGUCCUGUUUGGCGCCAUAUAACCUAUACUGUGUUGGUGCGCCGUAAAACCCAAAUAAAUAAAUAAAUUGUCUUCUCUGGAUUUCUUACAGAAAAGCAAAGAAAUUGGGUGAAAUUUUAUCAGUCGAAUAAAUUCAGUACGAUGUGUAACACAAAACUGCCGUAGGAAUAACCACCUGCGGGCUUUUCAUAAUUCGUACGGGAGAGCCGUAGGAAUAGCCAGCGGCGGGCUUUUCACUAUUCUUAUGGGAGAGCCAUAAGAAUAGCCUGGGAGGCUAUUCCUACGGGACCGUAAGAAUAGCCACUUCCAAUAGAAUUUCAGGUUCAAGUUGUAAUACACUUUUGCUCUGUCUCAGUUAUUACUUAAAAAUAGUUGUUCCACAUUAUUAGUCAAAUGAUAUGACACAUGGUGUAUUACUUUUGCAGAAGUUUUCCAUGAAAUAUGUCCCUUUUAUACUUAUUUAAUGUUUUGAUACACUUUAUUUCUAUUAUUACUAAAUCCAUUUGACACAGACUUAAGCUAUCUCCCAAUAUCCACAUUUGAGUGAUUAAACACUCCAGUGACAGCUCCGGCUUCCUUAGAUGUGCAUAAUUUCACUAUCCAGCACUGAAAUACUCAAGCGCGCUGUCUCCUGUGACAGCUCUUGUUGAAGCUAGUACUUGAGUUAACUGUCAUCAAAAAAAACUGAUCUCAUACGCCUUAUUGCAUAUCAGUGCAUUACGUCACUUUUUCCAUUCAUCAUCCAAGGUCGACAGAUCUCCACAAUUUUCGGCCUUGUUUGAAUACUUGUACUAGUUUGUUAAUUGUCAAUGCAGCAUAUUUAUUGCUAAUUUUAUGUAUGUUUUAAUUGAAAUUUUGUGCCUGUCAUAAUAAUAUUGAAUCAUGAUUAUCUCUUGUUUGAGCAUUUUUUCCCAAAAUUGAUAUUGCUCAUUGUAACUAAGUGAUCUUUUAUUUUAUUUAGUAUUGCUUUUCCUUUUACGUAUUGAAUUUAUGGAAAGAACCUUCACAGUUCAUUCCAUACAUUUUAGAUUUAUGAGUUAUCCUAUUUAAAAUUAUGUUGAAAAAUGUUACUGUAAAGAAAGAAAGUAUAUAUGUUCUGAUUUAAAGUG